rnacentral:rRNA from 1 species
CCGGAGGAAGGUGGGGAUGACGUCAAGUCCUCAUGGCCCUUACGGGCUGGGCUACACACGUGCUACAAUGGUGGUGACAGUGGGCAGCGAGCACGCGAGUGUGAGCUAAUCUCCAAAAGCCAUCUCAGUUCGGAUUGCACUCUGCAACUCGAGUGCAUGAAGUUGGAAUCGCUAGUAAUCGCGGAUCAGCAUGCCGCGGUGAAUACGUUCCCGGGCCUU